CACGUAGGGCGCGAGCGUUGUCCGGAAUUAUUGGGCGUAAAGAGCUCGUAGGCGGCCUGUUGCGUCCGCUGUGAAAGCCCGGGGCUUAACCCCGGGUCUGCAGUGGAUACGGGCAGGCUAGAGGUAGGUAGGGGAGAAUGGAAUUCCCGGUGUAGCGGUGAAAUGCGUAGAUACUGGGAGGAACACCAGUGGCGAAGGCGGCUACCUGGACCGGUUCUGACGCUGAGGCGCGAAAGCGUGGGUAGCAAACAGG
rnacentral:rRNA from 1 species